rnacentral:rRNA from 1 species
CCUACGGGGGGCAGCAGUGAGGAAUAUUGGUCAAUGGCCGAGAGGCUGAACCAGCCAAGUCGCGUGAGGGAAGACGGCCCUACGGGUUGUAAACCUCUUUUGUCGGGGAGCAAAGCGAACCACGUGUGGCUCAUUGAGAGUACCCGAAGAAAAAGCAUCGGCUAACUCCGUGCCAGCAGCCGCGGUAAUACGGAGGAUGCGAGCGUUAUCCGGAUUUAUUGGGUUUAAAGGGUGCGCAGGCGGAGGUGCAAGUCAGCGGUCAAAUUGCGGGGCUCAACCCCGUACUGCCGUUGAAACUGGAUGCCUGGAGUGCGCGAGAAGUAUGCGGAAGGCGUGGUGUAGCGGUGAAAUGCAUAGAUAUUAGGAAGAACGCCGGUGGCGAAGGCGGCCUGCUGGACUGUGACUGACGUUGAGGCCCGAAGGCGUGGGGAGCAAACAGGAUUAGAUACCCGAGUAGUC